AGUGAACGCUGGCGGUAGGCCUAACACAUGCAAGUCGAACGGCAGCACAGUAAGAGCUUGCUCUUACGGGUGGCGAGUGGCGGACGGGUGAGGAAUACAUCGGAAUCUACUUUUUCGUGGGGGAUAACGUAGGGAAACUUACGCUAAUACCGCAUACGACCUACGGGUGAAAGCAGGGGAUCUUCGGACCUUGCGCGAUUGAAUGAGCCGAUGUCGGAUUAGCUAGUUGGCGGGGUAAAGGCCCACCAAGGCGACGAUCCGUAGCUGGUCUGAGAGGAUGAUCAGCCACACUGGAACUGAGACACGGUCCAGACUCCUACGGGAAGCAGCAGUGGGGAAUAUUGGACAAUGGGCGCAAGCCUGAUCCAGCCAUACCGCGUGGGUGAAGAAGGCCUUCGGGUUGUAAAGCCCUUUUGUUGGGAAAGAAAAGCAGCAGGUUAAGACCCCGCUGUUCUGACGGUACCCAAAGAAUAAGCACCGGCGAACUUCGG
rnacentral:rRNA from 1 species